rnacentral:rRNA from 1 species
AAAAGAAACCAACCGGGAUUGCCUCAGUAACGGCGAGUGAAGCGGCAACAGCUCAAAUUUGAAAUCUGGCUCCCCCUCGGGGUCCGCAUUGUAAUUUGGAGAGGAUGUCUCGCGGAAGGCGCCGCCCUAAGUCCCUUGGAACAGGGCGUCAGAGAGGGUGAGAAUCCCGUAUGGGGGCGGCCGCCGGACGCAUGUGAGACUCCUUCGACGAGUCGAGUUGUUUGGGAAUGCAGCUCUAAUUGGGAGGUAAAUUUCUUCUAAAGCUAAAUAUCGCCUGGAGACCGAUAGCGCACAAGUAGAGUGAUCGAAAGAUGAAAAGCACUUUGAAAAGAGAGUCAAACAGCACGUGAAAUCGUUGAAAGGGAAGCGGUUGCGAUCAGACUCGCCCGCGGUCGAUCAGCCGUCGUUCUCGACGGCGCACUCGGCCGCGUGGCGGGCCAGCAUCGGUUCGGGCGGCCGGAGAAAGGCGGCGGGAAUGUAGCUCCCCCCCCGGGGGAGUGUUAUAGCCCGUCGCGGAAUCGGCCUGCCGGGACCGAGGU